GAUGAACGCUGGCGGCGUGCCUAAUACAUGCAAGUCGAGCGAACAGACGAGGAGCUUGCUCCUCUGACGUUAGCGGCGGACGGGUGAGUAACACGUGGAUAACCUACCUAUAAGACUGGGAUAACUUCGGGAAACCGGAGCUAAUACCGGAUAAUAUAUUGAACCGCAUGGUUCAAUAGUGAAAGACGGUUUUGCUGUCACUUAUAGAUGGAUCCGCGCCGCAUUAGCUAGUUGGUAAGGUAACGGCUUACCAAGGCAACGAUGCGUAGCCGAUCUGAGAGGGUGAUCAGCCACACUGGAACUGAGACACGGUCCAGACUCCUACGGGAGGCAGCAGUAGGGAAUAUUCCGCAAUGGGCGAAAGCCUGACGGAGCAACGCCGCGUGAGUGAUGAAGGUCUUCGGAUCGUAAAACUCUGUUAUUAGGGAAGAACAAAUGUGUAAGUAACUAUGCACGUCUUGACGGUACCUAAUCAGAAAGCCCCGGCUAACUACGUG
rnacentral:rRNA from 1 species